rnacentral:tRNA from 1 species
AAACGGGAGAAGCCCCGGAGCCCUUUAGGGGCUCUUCUUCAAAUUUGCAUUUUGAUGUAAGUCACUUCGGAGCU